AUACGUAGGUGGCAAGCGUUGUCCGGAUUUAUUGGGCGUAAAGGGAGCGCAGGCGGUUUGUUAAGUCUGAUGUGAAAGCCCACGGCUCAACCGUGGAACGGCAUUGGAAACUGGCAAACUUGAGUAUAGAAGAGGAAAGUGGAAUUCCAUGUGUAGCGGUGAAAUGCGUAGAUAUAUGGAGGAACACCAGUGGCGAAGGCGACUUUCUGGUCUAUAACUGACGCUGAGGCUCGAAAGCGUGGGGAGCGAACAGGAUUAGAUACCCUGGUAGUCCACGCCGUAAACGAUGAGUGUUAAGUGUUGGGGGGCUUCCACCCCUCAGUGCUGGCGUUAACGCAAUAAACACUCCGCCUGGGGAGUACGACCGCAAGGUUGAA
rnacentral:rRNA from 1 species